GUCUUUCGACCUUUAGAAAGGUGGGAGACUAGAUCAUGUGUAGCUCGCUAGAACUAUGUUGUAUUUUUCCAGUUAGGCUAGUUGGAAACCUUCUGUUGUUUUAGUUACUGCAUCUAGAUUUGCUUAUGCACAUACCUUGCGGUAUGCUAAAUGUGGCGCUUGUUAUAUUUUGCUAAUGUCUCCUUUAUUUAUCCUGUUUGACAGUGCUAAUUGAAGUGAACCCACCUAUUUGAAAGUAAGUUGCUGAUCUUUGAGGAGGUUAAAAUAUUCCAAUUUUUGUUUUCUUCAAAUUUCUUAUUCCUUAAGCUUCUUGUAGUCUACAUCACUCCUUUAGUUAGAGAAAACUUCACCUCAAGUUUUGAAUUAUUGAAACAGAUCUUUGAAAUAUGGCAACUGAAUCAACAAAUAAUAAUUUUGAUGAUUUUGUUUCAUCAUCUAUAUGGUAACUGCUCGGCAAAGAAUAUAUAUGAUGAUGUUAGAACAUCCUUCUUCAUUCUUGUACUAUUAUCUAGUGUAGCAAAGUCAUUUUGUGGCACAAAAAAGGAGUAGGAGUGUCAUUUUCUGGAUUGAAUAAUCACUUUAGUAAACAGCAUGUUCAUUUGUCUGUUACUAUUCACUUCUUUAAUAAGUUCUUCAUGCUCUUCUUGGUUGGAUCCAACUAUAAUAUGUGAAAAUUAAUAAAUCUGUUGAUUCUGUUUUUAUUUUCUUGCUGGCUUCUUUUCAUCAUUUAUUUCCCUUGUUUCUGUGGUACUAUCCAACUUUAACAUGACAUGCUUAUGGCCAAGUACUAAUCUUUGUCAGUACAAGCUUGCUGAGAUUAAGAAGUGAUGCUUUUCUGUAUCAAUCAUUUGUUGGUUUAGUGGUAAGUGAGUCGUUUACUUGCUGAAAGCCUGUGCGAUUCCCACCCACAGUGGAGUAAGGGUGUUCACU
rnacentral:lncRNA from 1 species